GAAGAAAACAUUUUAGAAUAUUUCUGGUCUUCACGCUGUGUGGAGACCAACGCGGAGAGGUCUCCGUGCAGCUCGAAGAAGAGGUCUCUGCACAGCAUGGAGCUCCUAGAUUGUAUGGUCCGAUGAUAGAAUGCAGACUUGGAUAGCUUAACUCGGUGCUUCACUCACUAAAGAACUCUAUUUUCACAAGGUGAGUCAAUGUUCUUGAUUUAUUUCAUCCCCUUUACUUUUUUAAGGUCUUUUCUUGGGUUAUUUUGCCGGCACUGUAUUUGUUAGAUAUUAACUAGAUAUUCAUGCUUAUAAAUGUCAGAUAAAAAAAAAUAGAGCUGGUGGAUUGUAUAGGUCUGUUGAUAGAAUGCCGACUUGUAUGGCUGAACUUGUGUUCCACUCACUAAAGAACUGGGUUUUCACCAAUUGAGUUAAUCUUCCUGACUUUUUUUCAUCCCUCUACUGUUUUUUUUAAAUUCUUUUUCUUAGGUUUUUUUUUUUUUUGUUUUUUUUUUCCAACACUUCAUUUGUUAGUUAUUAACUAGAUAUUUGUGCUUAUAAAUGUAAGAUAAAAAAUGGAGCUCGGAUUGUAUAGGUCUGCUGAUAGAAUGCAGGAUUGUUUGUAAUCUUAUUACCUAUACUUACUGAUUUCAAUUUGCUUAUAUAUAUAUCCAAGUUGAUAUAAGCAAUGUAUGAUUGCAAGCAUCAUAUGCUGAAUCUGUUUUAUAUAAAAGAUUCCAGCUGCAAUUGAUGGGUUUGGUUAUUGCCAUAAUUAUUACAGCUUAGAACUCUUUAAUUGAUUGGUUUAUUUUGAUUAAUCUCUAUUCUGUUGUAUUUAUAGUCACCACUUACAGGUGUUCCUUCUAGAUCAAAACCUGUUGAUCAAGGCUCUUUGACCAUCUCAAGCCUACAUCUCACUGUGAUCCCUUUUACAAAGAUGAGUUUCCUCUUUGCCUAGCAUAAUUUUAUUAACUUAUGUAUCUUUUCAAGCGUAAUCUGCUUUAGUUGCGAUGAAUUGUGAUAGGACAUCUAAAAUAAAUGGGGAGUUGUUAUGCAUUAUCACUUUUGUCAUCAACUUGGCAAUUAGUUUACACCUGUUUUAGAUUUUAGUGACCAUUAUUGGAUUAUUGCAUGCUUGUAGGCAUUAGCCAAUUGCCAGAGCAUUAAUUGCAAUUUAAUAUCUAUUAAUCAUGAUGGCUUGUUAUUUAUGCAGGCUAUCUCACUCAUUGCAUCUUAUUUACAAAUUCUUUUGCGUUAUCCUUUACAGGUAGGAGGUUCCUGAUC
rnacentral:lncRNA from 1 species